CCUUCUCUAGCACUCCUCUUCCUUGCUUCGCCAUAGAAUCUCUGUUUCUUUAACAAAAUCAACGCCUUCUCUCUCGCCGAUCUAUUUCUUCUAUAUUUGCGUAAUAAGCAGAAAUACGCAUAGCAGUAGUGCCGAUCUACAUUUUAAACCCUAAAUCUUCAUUUUCUUUUGAAUUGUCUCUAGGGUUAGCUAACCUGCAAGUUUCAGCCUUUCAGACAACAGAAGCUUGGCUUAAUUCCAAGAAUGUACAAGGUAGAAGAAACGUCAAGGAAAUUGUUGUGGGCCGAGGUGCAAAAACGUAUUAAUUUCAGAAAAAGAGAAGAUAACAAGCUGUAAUUUAAUCUGGUCCAAGAUCGCAGAAAGAAUUUUACUGUGAACUUUUUAUGACAAGCAAUAUCAGACGACGAUGAUCAUAUCCACCAUUUCCAAAUCGUCAAGGCGACGAUGCGUUGAGUGUUGAUAUUUGACAACAAGGCCUUUCACUUUCAACCUUAAAUUUGUAUAUAUCAAUGUAGUUGAAUUAAUACCAGGUCUUUUCAAUCUAAAACAGAACUGAGUUCUAAUACUA